rnacentral:rRNA from 1 species
CCUACGGGAGGCAGCAGUGGGGGAUAUUGCACAAUGGGGGAAACCCUGAUGCAGCGACGCCGCGUGAGUGAAGAAGUAUUUCGGUAUGUAAAGCUCUAUCAGCAGGGAAGAAGAUGACAGUACCUGAGUAAGAAGCCCCGGCUAACUACGUGCCAGCAGCCGCGGUAAUACGUAGGGGGCAAGCGUUAUCCGGAAUUAUUGGGUGUAAAGGGUGCGUAGACGGGAUAACAAGUUAGUUGUGAAACCCCUCGGCUCAACUGAGGAACUGCAACUAAAACUAUUAUUCUUGAGUGCAGGAGAGGAAA